rnacentral:rRNA from 1 species
AUUGAACGCUGGCGGCAGGCCUAACACAUGCAAGUCGAACGAGUGGCGGACGGGUGAGUAAUGUCUGGGCAACUGCCCGAUGGAGGGGGUUAACUACUGGGCACGGUAGCUAAUACCGCAUACCAUCGGAUGUGCCCAGAUGGGAUUAGCUAGUGGGGGGGGUCAAGGCUCACCUAGGCGACGAUCCGUAGCUGGUCUGAGAGGAUGACCAGCCACACUGGAACUGAGACACGGUCCAGACUCCUACGGGAGGCAGCAGUGGGGAAUAUUGCACAAUGGGCGAAAGCCUGAUGCAGCCAUGCCGCGUGUGUGAAGAAGGCCUUCGGGUUGUAAAGUACUUUAAGCGGGGAGGCGUUACCAGCAGAAGAAGCACCGGCUAACUCCGUGCCAGCAGCCGCGGUAAUAC